rnacentral:rRNA from 1 species
CACGGAGUUAGCCGGUGCUUAUUCGUAUAGUACCUUCAGCUACUCUCACGAGAGUAGGUUUAUCCCUAUACAAAAGAAGUUUACAACCCAUAGGGCCGUCGUCCUUCACGCGGGAUGGCUGGAUCAGGCGCUAACCCAUUGUCCAAUAUUCCUCACUGCUGCCUCCCGUAGGAGUCUGGUCCGUGUCUCAGUACCAGUGUGGGGGAUCACCCUCUCAGGCCCCCUAAAGAUCAUUGACUUGGUGAGCCGUUACCUCACCAACUAUCUAAUCUUGCGCGUGCCCAUCUCUAUCCACCGGAGUUUUCAAUAUCAAAUGAUGCCACUCAAUAUAUUAUGGGGUAUUAAUCUUCCUUUCGAAAGGCUAUCCCCCAGAUAAAGGCAGGUUGCACACGUGUUCCGCACCCGUGCGCCGCUCUCUCUGUUCCGAAGAACAAAUACCGCUCGGCUUGCAUGUGUUAGGCCUCCCGCUAGCGUUCAUCCUGAGCCAGGAUCAAACUCUC